UGAGGCUUUCGGACUGGCCUAAGGAGAGUGGCAACACUCACCUAGGGCCGGAAAGUUGUUCAAACUUGGUCAUUUAGAGGAAGUGAACCCCUUCCGUAGGCCUCCGGGGGGGGGCCCGCGGAGGGGGCGUUU
rnacentral:rRNA from 1 species